rnacentral:lncRNA from 1 species
CUGCCCCGGCCUCCUCCUGCCGUGUCAACCUCCGCCGUCCGUCCCGUCCGUCUUCCACGCUCUGUGUUUUCUCCGCAGCUCGUGCUGCCGACACCACAUACAUUUUCUUUACUUGUGACGUGUCGCCCGCUGGCACGACCGCUCCAGGGGAGCAGGGACUGCUGUGCUUUUCUUUUCCAGCUGCCACCCGCCGAGUCUCCGGCACACGGUGCUCAAUAAAUACUCGUUUGCGCGGAGGAGCGAGCGGGUCCCCAGUCCCGCCCGGUGUGAACGGAUCGGGUUCCCCACAGCGACCCCGUCACCCCGGGGUGGAUGGCGCGGGGCGCACCGCAGAGACCCCAGCCAGCAGAUGGGCUCCGAGUGCGAGGAGGUGCUCCAGGUCCUUAAGGAGAACGUGAAAGAAAGUUGUUGGGCCAACGCGAAUUUAUGUUUCCAUAAGCCGCCGGAAAAGGUGGUUAAAUCUCUGAUAACAUUUAACUUAUCAGUUAAAUCACGUGCGUCUAUUGAAAGCUCGUAUGUGAAGUCGGAUGCGCUGGUUUGGGAUGUGAUUUUCCACCCGGUGCAUCUCAUGACGUUAUUUCCCCCCAUCGGGGCAGCAGGGGCAGCGGGGAGGGCGGCGCCACGGAGCACCCGGGGCAGCAGAGCCCCCAGCGGGGAACAGAAGGGGUCCUGGGGGGCUCUCCUGGCUUCCCCGCCCACGGGGGGCAGACAAGGCUGGAUUCAGGGCCCCGGCAGGCUCAGCGGGUUGGGGAGGGCGGGCAGCCCGGGAAUCUGCCCCUUAAACAGGAGCCUCUGAGAUAAAUGGGAACAACCAGAGGAAGCAAGAGGGCGGCGGGUCAGCUCAUCGGGGUCACGGCGUCGGAGGCUGACCGAGCCUCCAGGCCCCGUCUCCUCUUCCCUCCCAGACGUGGGGCUGCAGCGAAACCCGGAAGGCUGGGAAUCAUCCAGAGCUGAGUUCAAAUCCUGCUCUGCCGCUGACUAGUUAUAUGACCUCGGGCCAGGGACCGAACCUCUGCCGGUUGCUCCUUUUGUAAAACGAGGACAGUAACGUCUACCUUCCGAGGUUGCUGUGGACGUGACAUAUUCACGGUGAGCACCCACGAGGCUCAGCCCGACCGGGCGCUUCCUGCACGCCCCUAACUAACUCCUCGUCUCUUACAGAUGAGGAAGGUGAAGUGCAGGGGGUCAGCCGAGUCCCGCCGGGGCACACAGCCAGCAAGUGCCAGAGCCGGGGUGUGAACACAGGCUCCAGGACGCCUGCUCAGAACCCACACGUUCCAUACAAGAUGACGCGAGCGCCUCACACAUCGCACGCGACACGCAGAGAAACGCCAGCUGGGACCGUCCUGCCCGAAUCUUACCAACGAGAUACUUGGGAGAACGAUUCUGGGGGACGAGCACCGGGGGGGCCGCCCCGGACGAGAGGGAGCGUGUUCUCUGAUUCUCUUGACCCACCGUGAGAGGGAGACGGCCCCGGUCCGCGGGCUGCGUGGCGCACAGCUACGGGCACUGCCUUGUUGUUGCUCUCGGCCGCGCCUCCCGCUGAGCGCCGGCUCUGGCUCCGGUGUGCGGGGAGGAGGCCGAGACUCCGAGAACUCGGGCAGCGCGCCCCCCUCACCUGGCACGGCUGUGAGCGGACUCGGGGCUCUGGCCGCAGCCCCCACGCUCCGCAGGCCCUAGUAUCCGCGGACCGACGUGGCCGGGGUCACGGGCGCCUGGGCGGCUCAGCGGGUGAAGCGUCCGACUUCCGAUCUCAGCUCGGGUCAUGACCUCGAGGUGGUGGGAUCGAGCUCCACGCUGGGCUCACACGCUGGGCGUGGGGGCUGCUUGGGUUCUCUCUCUCUCAAAAAAAAAAAAUAAAUAAAAAGCUUUGGAAGGACCGUGAUCACAGACCCAGCAGAACGAAGGACGGGAGAGGGUGAGCCUUGCAUCCUGACGUCCCUGAGCCACGUUGUCCUUAUCUGUAGCAGAGAGAGGGCUAUUCUCCAAGGGCCUGUGGCGAAGAUUGAAGAGGAGGGUGCAGAAGAAGUGCCUGGUACGGGGCUUGUCACACAGCGAGUGCUCAGCAAACAUCGACUGUGCUCAUUAUCAGGGGACGAGUAAGUGUAAAGGAGGGACGAUGAGGAGGUGGAGGUGGUGGGGGGGGAAGACGGGAGGGAAGAGACGUGGGGGAGGAGGAGCAGUGGGGCUGGCAGGGCGGAGGGGGACAGGCGCCAGCCCGGCUCCCCAAGCUCGGCCCGCCAGGCUACCCGCCCAGGCUGCGCCCCCAGGGCCGUCGGGCGGUUCACGCCGCCCUGCUGCAGCCUGAGGCACCCCCGCCCCACGGGGCCCUGGGUGCCGGCGAGAACGGCUGUCCCCGACGCGCCCAGCUGCAGAACGAGGACUCAGGGGGCCGGGAAGGACACGGAAGCCUCGGAGCCACGGCCCCAGCGACUGUGCUGUCGGGAGGCAGCCACCGCUGUGGUCGCCGGCCCCGCGCCUUAACCUCCUCCCGGGUGAGAGCGCGGAGUCGGCCGCGUCGGGUGUCGGGGGGAUGGCAGUCGUGCAGCCAGCGGCCCCUGCGUCCAGGCCUGGGGGCCAGGGGUGACGCCGCCCCCCGGGGCCCGGGGACUGUCCUGCCACGUCGCAGGAUGGCCCUGCUCGUCUCCGCGGGGGAAUGGCAUCAGACACGGCCACUCUCAGAUUGGAACGGGGACCGCCUUGGCCUGCGCCCUUGGAGGUCGGGGGGCUCCGAGGGAGGCGGUGACUCCCCCUGGGGAGAGCGCGGAGCUUCGCUUGGUUGUGUUUGUGACCCGGGAAGAGACCCAGGCGGCGCCGUGGAGGGCUCGGGGUGGGCGCCCCACGGGGACCUAGCUCGUGCCGGGCAGCAGAGUGCGACACAUUAAUGUGCCACCUCUGACGCCAGGCACAUCUCCGUCACGGACUCUUCUGUGACCUCAACCACGUCCCUCACCUCUCCGACCCUCAGUUUCUCCAUCUGAAAAAUGGGAACGAUUAACGUGGUAACGAAUCCCACUGCCGGGAGCCGAGCCUCAAUCUCCUCACCUGGGAAUGAGGAUGGUGCAGGCCCGUCCCCCGGGCGGGUGUGAGUUUAGAGGAAGUAACGCGUCCGCGGGGCCUGGCACCCGACACACGGCAGCCGUUCAUUAUCAAUGAUGCUAAAGCUGCCGGUAGCCUCCCUCGCUGCCUGCAAGGUGCCCGAACGCCCGAGCGCUGCUGGUCCCUCCGCAGCCCCUCAUUCCAGCCCAAGGCCCCGACCACAGAGCCCUCUGGCCGGGCCUCGCCCCCUCCGCCCCACGCCGGGUGUCCCGGAGCAGGGCCGUGCGCUUCUCCAGCUGGGGGGAAGCCAGAGGAGCUCUUUCCUGCCGUCACGGCUGCGGCCCAGAUGGAGGCUGGCGGGCAGGGUUAACGCUGGCUCGGCUCCCGGCGCCAGUGGGCCAGCCAGGCCGACCGAGGCAAGGGGAGGCGCCGGCCAACUCGUGCCAGGAAGCUGAGGCCAGAGGGACAUGGGGUC